rnacentral:tRNA from 1 species
GGCCUGUUAGCUCAGUUGGUUAGAGCGUCGUGCUAAUAACGCGAUUGUCGUGUGUUCGACCCCCACAUGGGUCG